ACCUUGUAAGUCUAGUAGGAUUUUUCAUCCUUCUGAGAGGUACUUAGGUAUUAUCUCAGAAGAAGUAGAGAAAUUGCUUCCCAUAAAAAAUGGGGUACAUAGAGAUGACCUCAAAACCUAUGACGAGGUGAUACCAGAUAUUGACUCUGAGAAAUGGUUAGAGAUAAUGAAGUCAGAAAUUGACUCGAUGUGCUCAAACUAAGUUUGGACCUUAAUGGAUCCAUCCAAAGAUAUUAUACCUAUUGGGUGAAAAUGGAUCUACAAGAAAAAGAUUGGUGCAAAUGGAAAGGUAG
rnacentral:lncRNA from 1 species